CCCUGGUUCGUUACACUCCCUACUUCUACAUCUCUAUAAAAGAGUGAGUCCUUCACCAGGAUGGCUCAUACUUCCAGUGCUCAGCAGAUAUGGCACCGGUUACCGUCUCUCUCAUUCUUCUAAUUUUGUGCUGUGCAGGAGCCAUAGCAGACAACCAUUGCAAACCACCACGACUACCAGGUAAUCCUAAUUAGAAUGUUAGUGAGUCACAGAUAGAGAACCUUCUAAGGUGUAUCUAUGGGUUGGUUUAAAUAUUUCAUCUGUGUCUGGCUAGUUCUCCUGUGCUGGAUACAACUGAUGGCCAAGCUGGACUCUUGUCUAAUGUUCAUAGUUGGAUUGAGUAACAUUGCAUAUAAAGAAAGAGGUCCGUGGCAAAGCUGAUGCCACCAGAGACAAAUAGACCCCAUAGGAAAGUAUAGAAUCAGUUGUUUCAUCCCUUUUUGAAUAAGGGCUUGUUUUUUCUCUGGGAAAGGGGAACUGGGGUGCAUAUGUGAAUGAGCCUUAAAGAGGUUUUCAAAGAUUUUUUAAAAUUUGGUCCAAUGCAGGGGGCUGUAAAUGAAAGGAAAAACCCUUUACCUUUUAUAUAACCUGCCCCUCAUCUGGUCCUGCAGCAAUGACAUCACAUCCAUCGUUCAAAUGAUUUCUGCUUUCAAUCACUGACCUCAGUGGUCAUGUGUCAUUUAUUCACACAUGACCACCGAAGUCAUUGAUUGGCAGUAGUGGUCAGUCAUGAGAACGAUGGAUGUGACACCAUCUAUGUGGGAAGGUGUGGGUUCAGAGCAACUCUGAAGCUGCAGGACAUGUAUAAGAGAAACCUGGACAAUGUCCCCUAGAUCCAUUAGCAAAGUGUCCUCCUAACAUUUCUCCUGAUCAGUGCGAAUCGGACGAUGACUGUCCUGAAAAACAAAAGUGCUGCAGGGUUCAGGGCACCAGACGAUGCGUAGAUCCCAUCGAGGGUAAGUUCAUUAGAAACCAAACUCAACAAGUAGAUGGAGCUCAUUAUUAGACAGGAUUUGGCACCUGGUGAAGGAAUCUGACAGCUGUAUGGUUACAUGACCAGCUCCACCUGAUCUGCCAAAAUCUGCUUUACCACAAACACAUCUCAGAGAGAAGCCCGGAACAUGCCCACCACCACGCCGGACCGAUUGCCCAUCCGAUCUGCCACCUGGAAAAUGUGAAGUGGACAGUGAUUGUCCAGGAAAACAGAAAUGCUGCUUCAUAAAUUGUAGCUUAUGGUGAAUCAAAGUGUAAUAAGUGAUGUGAGGCGGCCGGAUGCAUCUCCGUCCCUCACAGCGGAGGACACAUCGCCGAUCAGCCUCAGUAAUUCUCUCUUCUCGCGGCUUUUCCUUCUCUAGUUGCAGAUAACCCUGGGAGGUGACAGCGGUGAAGACACUCAGGGCCGGAUCCGCUGCCCCAGGUGCCCAGUCUGAAUACACCCCCAUUAUAGCCAGAUUCCUCCUCCUUCUCAGCGAUCAUAGUGACAUUUAUCAAUGUAAUAAAGCAGAAGAUGAAAAAUGA